rnacentral:rRNA from 1 species
ACGCUGGCGGCAUGCCUAACACAUGCAAGUCGAACGAAUAGUAGCAAUGCUAUGAGUGGCAAACGGGUGAGUAAUACGUAGGAAUCUGCCCUAUAGUAUGGAACAACAGUUGGAAACGACUGCUAAUGCCAUAUACGCUCCUUUUGGAGGAAAGAUUUAUCGCUAUAGGAUGAGCCUGCGCUAAAUUAGGUUGUUGGUGGGGUAAUGGCCUACCAAGCCUAUGAUUUAUAGCUGGUCUGAGAGGACGAUCAGCCACACUGGGACUGAGACACGGCCCAGACUCCUACGGGAGGCAGCAGUGAGGAAUAUUGGACAAUGGGCGCAAGCCUGAUCCAGCAAUGCCGCGUGAACGAUGAAGGCCUUAGGGCUGUAAAGUUCUUUCGGUGGGGAAGAAAAUGACGGUACCCACAGAAGAAGUUCCGGCUAACUCCGUGCCAGCAGCCGCGGUAAU